AAUCACCAAGCUAUUAAUAUUGUUUUAACGCUGCAACUCAGAACAAAUAUGAUAUUUCUUUUUAGUUUUAUUUAUGUUCUUGGAGCUCUUAACUAUCCAAGUAUGAAAUCAAUGUUGGCACAGUUUUACUAUGGAGUUCGCUACAAUUCCAAUUGUUGGCACAGUUUUACUAUGGAGUUCGCUACAAUUCCAUAUGGAGUUCGCUACAAUUCCAAUGUUGACACAGUUUUACUAUUAAGUUCGCUACAAUUCCAAUGUUGGCACAGUUUUACUAUUAAGUUAGCUACAAUUCAACAGUUUUACUAUUAA